rnacentral:piRNA from 1 species
UUCCCGGAGAGCAGAUCUUCUAACUGUGC